rnacentral:rRNA from 1 species
UGGGGAAUAUUGGACAAUGGGGGCAACCCUGAUCCAGCCAUGCCGCGUGAGUGAUGAAGGCCUUCGGGUUGUAAAGCUCUUUUGGCGGGGACGAUGAUGACGGUACCCGCAGAAUAAGCCCCGGCUAACUUCGUGCCAGCAGCCGCGGUAAGACGAAGGGGGCAAGCGUUGUUCGGAAUUACUGGGCGUAAAGGGCGCGUAGGCGGUUUGCUUAGUCAGGCGUGAAAGCCCUGGGCUUAACCUGGGAUGUGCGCUUGAUACUGGCAGGCUUGAGUGUGGGAGAGGUGGGUGGAAUUCCCAGUGUAGAGGUGAAAUUCGUAGAUAUUGUGAAGAACACCGGUGGCGAAGGCGGCCAACUGGACCACAACUGACGCUGAGGCGCGAAAGCGUGGGGAGCAAACA